UACGGAGGGAGCUAGCGUUGUUCGGAAUUACUGGGCGUAAAGCGCGCGUAGGCGGUUUUGUAAGUCGGGUGUGAAAUCCCCAAGCUUAACUUGGGAACUGCAUUCGAGACUGCAUAGCUAGAGUAUGGGAGAGGGAAGUGGAAUUUCAGGUGUAGCGGUGAGAUGCGUAGAUAUCUGAAGGAACAUCAGUGGCGAAAGCGACUUCCUGGACCAAUACUGACGCUCAUGUGCGAAAGCGUGGGGAGCAAACAGG
rnacentral:rRNA from 1 species